UACAGAGGGUGCAAACGUUGUUCGGAAUUACUGGGCGUAAAGCGCACGUAGGCGGUCAGGCAAGUCGGGUGUGAAAGCCCUGGGCUCAACCUGGGAAUUGCAUUCGAAACUAUCUGACUAGAGUAUGGGAGAGGGAAGCGGAAUUUCCGGUGUAGCGGUGAAAUGCGUAGAUAUCGGAAGGAACACCAGUGGCGAAGGCGGCUUCCUGGACUAAUACUGACGCUGAGGUGCGAAAGCGUGGGGAGCAAACAGG
rnacentral:rRNA from 1 species